rnacentral:lncRNA from 1 species
AUUGUAUGAAUUAUUAUUAACAAGUUCUCAUACUUUCUACCUUAAAAGUCUUCUACAUCACUGUGUCGUCUUUUACUUUGCAGGCGCAGAUUAAUUGCAUCACAAGAUACGGGUAAAACAACGUCAAGCGAUACGACUACUUACGGUGAGGAAAAUGUUCUCGUUGGGCUUUGUUUAUUCCUAAAAAACAAAAUAACGUUAUUUUAACCCAAGUUUUACUAAUAUUGAACCAUAAAUAAGGCCUUCAUUACAUGCUGCAUAUAUUCAUUUCUCUUUCGAUUCACUAGUUUGUUAUUUGGAAGUAAUAUCAUAUGUUUGUUUACAAACCAUCUCCGGGUUUGAAAUUGUAAUCAGCAACAAAAUUUUCUACUCUAAUUGUAUUUGUUUGGUUGAUUUUGUUGUCUCUGGCCACAAUUAGUUAUGUUGUAAGGUAAUACAAGUAAAAUGUACAGAUAGUUAGUAUUUUGUAUUUCUUCUGAUUAUAACAGACACCAUAGAAUCUACUGUAUGGUUAAUCGUUCACUACGAUUAUGUCUCUGUUAUAUUAGCAGGAAAAUAAAGUUGGUACACUAUUUUGCAAUACUAGCGUACUUGAUUUUUAUGCCCCAUUUAUGGUCAUUAUGUUUUCUGGUCUGUGCCUCCGUCCGUCCGUUCGUUCGUUCGUUCGUUUGUCCGUUCGUUAUUUCGUUCGUUCGUUCGUCCGUUCGUUCGGUCGUUCGUUCGUCUGUCCCGCUUCAGGUUAAAGUCUUUGGUCGAGGUAGUUUUUGAUGAAGUUGGAGUCCAAUCCCGCUAACAUGUUUAACCCCGUCACAUUAUUUAUGUAUGUGCCUGUCCCAAGUCAAAUUCAGUGGUUGUCGUUUAUUUAUGUGUUACAUAUUUGUUUUUCGUUCAUUUUUUUUUAUAUAAAUAAGGCCGUUAGUUUUCUUGUUUGAAUUGUUUUACAUUGUCUUAUCGGGGCCUUUUAUAGCUGACUAUGCGGUAUGCUUGUUCAUCGUUGAAGGCCGUAGGUGACUAUAGUUGUUAAUGUCUGUGUCAUUUUGAUCUCUUGUGGACAGUUGUCUCAUUGGCUAUCAUACCACAUCUUCUUUUUUAUAUUGACACUUAGUACUCAUGUUCCCUAUGAUAUGAUCUUUCUAAUUUUAAUGCAAAAUUAGAGAUUUGAUCAUAGAAAAUGAUAUUGCGGAUGGGGCAUUUUUCAGUUUCAAUUAUGAGACUUUGUGAACUUUCCAUUUCUAAGUGGCCACAUUCAUGGCCAGCAGCACAUGCGCACGGGGUAUAUAUCUCCCCUUUGAUACGAUAUUCCCGUGCUUGUAUUUCCUAUCAUGAUUUUCUUGAUAGAGGGUAGCUGCUCACAAUAAAGCUAUUAAACCAAGAGUUCUAAAUGGUGAAGUUGAAAUCAUCCCUUCGUAAAUUUUACGUACCCCAUCACGAAGUUGUUAACCGUUAUGGAAUAACCGUUUCACAGAUGUUAAUGGAUAUGUUUAUUACGUGAUAAUUACAAUCCCCUUCCCUUUCAUGAAUGUGACCUAUCAAAUUAGACUAUUUACUGUAUUUUUUAUGAGCAACACGACGGGUGCCACAUGUGGAGCAGGAUCUGCUUACCCUUCCGGACCACCCGAGAUCACCCCCAGUUUUUGGUGGGGUUCGUGUUGCUUAAUCUUUAAUUUCAUAUGCUGUGUCAUCUGCACUAUUGUUUGUAUGUUUGUCAGUUUCAUUUUUAGCCAUGGCGUUGUCAUUUUAUUUUCGAUUUAUGAGUUUUGACUGUCCCUCUGGUAUCUUUCGUCCCUUUUUUUCAGACGUUCAGCACAUUUUGCAUUUCAAAUUAAAAGCACAGUUUGUUUUCUUAGCUUUAUACCACUCUAAAUUCCUAAGCUUACUCAAAUGUUUGUCUGGGAAACGUAUUCUGCAGUUUUUGACGACUGCAGUUGGUCGUGUCAUGUAAUCCUGUUGCCCUCGACUUUGAAUCUUUUUUAUUGCCUCUUUAGUAAUAGCUUACUGUAUAUUAUCAAGUAUUAAGAGAUAUCAUUGGUUUGUAAAUAAGAAACUCUCCACCACAAACUGAAGGACGUUGAUGUAAGCAUCACUGGUAGGCCUUCGACACAGGUAAAAGUCAUAAAGCAAAGUCAAAGCAAUAUAUAAAAGGCACUAUGUGGAAAAAUUCGAUACAACUCAAAUGUAGGAUCCAAUUGUUUUAAUUAUGCUAGAACAAAUAAAAGAACGACAUAAAUAUGACAGACAACAACCUUGACAAGACUGUUAAUCUGGGACAGUGGUUUGACUUCACAACGAGCGAAUAACUCAGUUAAAAGAUGCUCGACUCAAAAUAUCGAGGCAAUAUCAAGACUUUAACGGCAAAACAAAUGAAAAAGAUAAAAAUCGAUAUUUUCAAUAAGUGUACUUACAAACAAUAGUGUUAUUGUUAUCGUUUAGUGACUUGAAUAUCUUGAUAUGUGCAGUAUUUCAUUGCAAGUCAUGAGGUUUUCUAACAAACUUUAUAUAUGAAUGCAUAUAUAUAUAUAUAUAUAUAUAUAUGGCGGUCAACAUCAACGCAUUGCAACAUCCAUCUUAAUCACAAAUUGCAUAAAAAACUUCUUUAGAAGAUUAAACAACAAUAAUUAUAUAAUCAUAACAAUAUAUACGAUGUAUGGUAAAAUAAAAGCUGCUGGUAUUACAGUAUAACGGAUAUUUGAGAUCCUUUAAUCCAAAUUGACGACACGGCGACACUUCAAAUUCAGUACUGCAUUUACACGAAUUCUAAUACAUUGUAAAAAAAAAACGUUAAAAAUUUUAAUUUGAUAGAGAAUAUUAUUCCGGGAAAUUUCAGGAAUAUUUUUCUGGCAUAAACGUAAUGGCUAAACGUGACGUUAUAAUGCUACAAUUUACAUAGAAUACACCAUAUACAUCUGAUUGGACAUGUAAGAGUUUGUUAAUAAAUUUUGUAUUUAAAACGUAGAAACAGUUUUGUUGAAAGGUUGAAAUUUUAAGUUUUAUGAUCGUAUUUGUAUCUAAUUUACAUUCUCACGAAGAUGAUCGCCUAACAGACAAUUAUGUAUUAUAAAUUUAUUGCAGAAACUAGGAUUACUACCAAUAACUCACAUCAGUAAGUGUAUAUAAUUAUCAAAAAGUUUUUUCAUCCUUGAAUUCCACAUUUUGUACAUGUAUAUGAGUCACCAUUAUUAAGUGUCUGCAAGAGGUACAAAAAUAUGAAACGCCAUAACUGCCUUAUGUUGAUGAUCAUCAUCAUUCAGCGGUCACAGCAUUAUAUGCAGCCGUGACAACAUCAAAUGCAGUGGUUGCAACAUUAUAUGCAGUUGUUGAUCAAUUAUGACUGGAUUUGGCAAUUUCCAAUAAAAAAUUAUCAAUCUAAACCACCACUAUCACAUACAUCAAUCAUUAUCAUCACCAUCACUGACCAUUGCAUAAUAUAAUGUUCCUACAACUGCAUAUAACUCUAUAUCGACUGCAUGUAAUGUUGUGACCACUUCGUAUAAUGUUGUGACCUCUGCAUAUUAUAAUGUUCCGACAACUGCAUAUAAUUCUUUCAAGACUGCUUAUAAUUUUGUGACCACCGGAUAUGAUGUUUUAACCACUGCAUAUAAUGUUUCGACAACUGAAUAUAAUGUUAGCACGACUGCUUAUAAUUUUGUGACCACUUCAUAUAAUGUUUUGACCACUGUAUAUAAUGUUGUAGACACAUCAUAUACUAUUGUGACAACUGUAUAUAAUUAAUGCUGUCACGGAUUCAUAUAAUGCUGGUACAACUACAUAUAAUGAUGAUCAUCAACAUAAGGCGGUCAUGGGGUUCCAUACAGAAACAUCUAACAUCAUUAUUCAUCAUAUUUGUUCAUCUGAUUUUCUUUUCUUUCACUUUAUACUUCAAUUUUGUUAGUUUAUAAAUGACACUUAUACCUAAGCUAGGUUUAUAUUGAGGACAAUAUAAAAACAAGUAGUUAGUUUUCUUCAUUGCAUAUAACGAUUUAUUUGGCAAUUCAAACUAUGGUCAACCUUUUCUGCACUAUAUAAAACUCAAGAGAAGAAGCAUUGCAUUUUUAUCAUGGAACAAAUAAAACACGAUUAAAUAAAACCUCUAAGUUUGCUUUGUUUUUUUUUGUGAAAUAUUUAUUUGAUCUGGUGUAUCUUUUUCAUGUAAACAUAUUCAUUCGAAAAGAAGAAUCUCUCUUGGUUGUUGUCCGUCAAGAAAGAUAUUGGAAUACUGAUGAAAUAUCAUUAUGUAUUUAUGAAUGCAUUUUUAUGAAGUAUUUAUGUAUCGCUUUGAAUGAUGAUUUACGUUUAAAAUCAAUGCCUAUCCCUCUUAAAACAUAAACCUUCUUAAUGAACUUCUACUCCCAGGGAGUAUCACUUACUCGAGAGCCAAGCAUUUCUGUGCUGAAAGGAAUAUUGCUUGUGGUCCUUUUUGAUUUAAUUAGCUCGUUAACGUAUGCUUUUUUGGACUUUCUGGUUUUUAAUCUCGAAUCAAUAACGAUAGAUUAAAUGUGCAUCUGGUGAAGGCAAUUGGUACAGAUUUUGUGUUUAUGAUAAUAUGUUUUCAACAAUUUAGUUUAAAUCUGAACAACCGAAAUUUAAAAAUGAUUUACCUAAAAAGUCAAAGGACAUUUGUGUAAUUCAGUGAACAUUAUAUAUAUGAUCCUUUACAUGAAUUCUAAUGAUUUGCAUAAUUAAAAUGUACCACCCACACAUCUCCUUUUAUAUGUGUUAGUUAUUGUGUAUGUAAAACUGCCUUUAUUUACAUUUUCAAUCUUUCAUUUUUUGUCUUUUUAUGCAGAAACGAGCAGCAGUAUGAUGACCUUAUAAGAAUGGACCCCGCAUCACUAUAUCAGGAUCUUAUUCCAAAUUCAGCAUCAAAUGAAUAUGAACAAAUCGAUAACUCAUAUGUAAACCUAAGCGUAC